rnacentral:lncRNA from 1 species
AGCGGUGGGGCGUGAGGAGAAGAAGAAGAGAAGUAGAGGGAGAAGAGAAGAAGAGGGAAAAGAAGAGAGGAAGAAGAGGGAGAAGAGAAGAAAAGAAGAAGAAGAAGAGAGGGAAGAGGGAGAGGAAAGAGAGAUAGCGGCAGCAGCUAGGGCUGCAGCACCUCUGUUUCAUGUAGGAGGAAACAGAGAAGUUCAUGUGUGGGGCGUCGGGGAGGAGAAGGGAAGAAAAGGAGAAGAAGAGAAGCAGAGGAAGAGAAG